rnacentral:rRNA from 1 species
AUUGAACGCUGGCGGCAGGCCUAACACAUGCAAGUCGAGCGAGCGGCGGACGGGUGAGUAAUGUAUGGGGACUGCCCGAUAGAGGGGGAUAACUACUGGAAACGGUAGCUAAUACCGCAUACUAUCGGAUAACCCAUAUGGGAUUAGCUAGUAGGUGAGGUAAUGGCUCACCUAGGCGACGAUCCCUAGCUGGUCUGAGAGGAUGAUCAGCCACACUGGGGUGGAGACGCGGCCCAGACUCCUACGGAGGCAGCAGUGGGGAAUAUGGCAGAAGGGGCGCAAGCCUGAUGCAGCCAUGCCGCGUGUAUGAAGAAGGCCAGAGGGUUGGAAAGCACUUUAAGUUGGGAGGCGUUACCAACAGAAUGAGCACCGGCUAACUUCGUGCCAGCAGCCGCGGUAAUUC